ACCAGUGGUCGGCAAACCGUGGCUCGCGAGCCACAUGUGGCUCUUUGGCCCCUCGAGUGUGGCUCUUCUGCAAAUGACCACGUGCAGGCGCUAAUGGUGGUUAAUAUCGCGUAUACGCUAUGUCAGCUCUCACUUGGUGCUUCAAAUAUCGCGCCGCGCAGUAAAAUCUCUCUAGUUCUUCGUUUGUUUCCCUGCUGACAGUGUUCGUCGGUUUUGUCCUACACCUAUGUAUUUCUUAUUCGACGCCUAUGUUUUGUUUAUUCGAGUCAGUCACGCGACACACGUCGCGGCAUCUUUGAUGAGAGGUAGAGUUUGGUAGUUCAUAAUAAAGCACUGUAACUUUUUUAAUAUUAAUUCUUUUUACCUACGGAUUUUUUAAACAUAUUGGCCAAACUCUUCUGAUCAAAAUGAAACCAAACACGACAUAACUUGGAGCAUUUUUACUUUAUUUUAUGUACAACGGAACAUCCAGUGCGAAUUUUUUUUUUCGUCCAUAUAGUCCAAAUUUUGUCAUAUCUGGUCUCAUUUUAAUCAGAAAAAUUGUACCAAUAUGCAACACAAUUUGCAUCUAGAAAAUUCUGAAAAUAAGAAAGUUAAACUGUUGUUAAUUUAUUGUCUGCUACUGCUCUCGUGCUAUUCUUCUCUUUUACGACUUGUCGCCGGGGAUUAAAAGCAGCCGCGAAGCUCGAAAAAUCGUGUCUAUCCUGCCUACAUGUCCAUUUUCGUUUCUCAGCUUACGAACAACUAGAGAGAUUUUAUUGUACACUCGAUAGCGCCAGCUGGACACAUCGCGUUAGUUCACGCAAGGUUUUGUAGCGUUCCAUACAAUUGUGCUACCCAUUUGACAUGGCUACAAAGAGGAAGCAAAUAAAAAUGAAGGACAGGAACCGUGAAUUUCAAGUUGAAUGGAACGAGACUUUUGCGUUUAUUAAAAACUUAAAUGGCGUUCCGACCUGUCUUAUUUGUAAAAAAAAAUUGGCGCAUAAUAAGAAGUCAAAUUUGGAGAGACACUUUAUAACUAAACACGAGUCAUUUAUCACUAAAUAUCCUGUCGGUGAUGCAAGGAACAAAGCAAUUGAGAAACUUCUAAAAAGUCAAGAAAAAUCAAGUUCUGUAUUUAAGCAAUUGAGGAACUUCUAAAAAGUGAAGAAAAAUCAAGUUCUGUAUUUAAUGUAGACGUUACAUUUCAUCUAAAUCAGCUUAAUCGUAAACUACAGGGGAAAGGAAAUACAAUUUUUUCGAUGUUAGAAGAAGUUAUUUCAUUCGAAAACAAAUUAUCCCUUUUUGCUCAAGGUUUUGAAAGGGAAACUUUGAUUCAUUUUCCAAGCCUGCGGAAACAUCACCAAGAAAAUAAUUCUGAUAUUGAUAUUUGCUAUUUCAAAAUAACAAUCUUAAAUAUGAGGGAGGCUUUUCUGAGUAGGUUUCAGGAAUUCAGAAACAGCAAAGCGACGUUAGCCUUUGUUAAAAAUCCUCUUAAUGCUAUUGUAACAGAAUUAAACUUUUCUCCCUUUGAUGUUGACAUUGGCAACUUUGAAAUGCAAUUGCUGGAUUUAAAAAACAAAGAAUUAUGGAGCUCUAAAUUUGAACGUCUUUGUGCUGAUUUGGAAAUAUUAGAGAAAAACAAAUGUGAACUUAGUUCACAGCAGAAGUGGUCUGCUUUGAGAGACCGGGAGAAGGAAGAUAUGAUAAUUUUUAACACCUGGAACAGUAUUCCUGACUCAUUUGAUCAGUUGAAAAAACUAGCGUUUGAUGUUCUUUCUCUUUUCGGUUCUACAUAUUCAUGCGAACAAUCUUUCUCGAACAUGAACCUCAUCAAGAGUAAAUUAAGAAGUCGACUUACUGAUGAGAACCUGGAAUCGUGCCUAAAAUUAAAAACAACAACAUACAAACCUAACUUACCCAAACUUUCGAAGGAGAUGCAAGGCCAUUGUUCACAUUAAGUGUUGUCACUGUCAGUCAUUGUCAUAAUUUAAUUUUAUGGAUACCUUACUUACAAUUUAAUUUCUAUGAAUAAAUAAGAUCAUUAUUAA